ensembl:lncRNA
GAUUGGAUUAUGGAAGGGCUAUGGAGGAUUCUCUGACUGUUGGUUCAUCUCCAUCUAAAAGAUGAACAAUGCUUCCUAGGAACGUAUAUGAAGGUACAACGGCAUAAUAAAGACUGGUCAAUGAAGUCGCAUGCUUGGCUGGUAGAACCACAGAAAAGAGCAAAAAAAAAAAAAAACGGUGGGAAAUUUCAAGAAAGAAAAGGAAUUGGCUCAAUGUGUCUCAGUGUCAAAAAUUGGACUAGGAAUGUGAAUUUGCUCUUUGGAUCCAAAUAGAAGGAAUAUUUAAAGCAAGUAUUGAUCUUCUCUCAGUUCACUCCUGUGUGUCAUGUGCUUGAAAUAAUUCACUAAAAUAGUAAAAGAGAAACAAAAACCUCCAUGAAUUGAAUGUAAAAGGGGUGAAUUACUCCAGCAACCUGAUCAGUAAUUCCUAGUUUCUGUUGCUGGGAUCAGAAAAAUUUAUCAUGAUCUUAGAGUAAAGGAAUAUUUGUAAUAUUUACUUUGUUCUUUGUUGAAAAUAGUCUUUAUAAGAAAACAACAAGUAUUUAUGUGCUUUGCUUUUGUUUGGUUGUAGUACAUCUUUUUCCCAAACAAUGUAAUUCUACAUGGUUGAGGAAAACAAGCAUAUGUUCAGAUAAAUCUAAAUAAAUAUAUACAUUUUGACUAGGGGGAGGACACUGUGGCAUGGUACACAGUGUUUAAGGUGACUGAGUUGUGAUGACCGUGGGGAGCUAUUGAAUCUGCUCUACUGUGCCCUAUUUUCUUCAUGGAAGCCAAAUCUGAUUCUAGAAGAGAGAAAAUGAAGCUAGGUUGCAAGCACUGCUGAAAUAACUGGCAGGAUUUUAUUCAUCCGGUUUAAAGAAAACACUGAAGUCUGAAUGAGAUUUUUUUUUCAGAACAACAAAAAAAUUAUCUUUCAAAUGUAUAAAAGAUCAGACUUCUAAAAAAAUGUACUCAAUGUCCUUAUUAAAUAAAGCUAUUUUGGAAUAUAAAGUUGACAUAGUGGCAUAUUUAAUAUUUUAAAAAAUAUUUAGCAAAAGGUUCAAUGUUUCAAAAAAUUAGGUUAACACUGCUUUUUAUUUGUAUAAAUUUAUGAGGUACAGGUGUGCUUUUGUUUCAUGGAUAUAAUGUGUAGUGGUGAAGUCAGGGAUUCAAGUGUAUUCAUCACCAGAAUAACCUACUUUGAAUUCAUUAGGUAAUUUCUCAUCAUCCAACUCCUCCUAUCCUCUCACCCUUUGAGUAUUCAUUAUCAUUUCAUACUUUACAUUAAUGUGUACAUAUCAUUUAGCUCCUACUUAUAAGUGAAAACAUGUGGUAUUUGUUUUUCUGUGUCUGAGUUGUUUCACUUAAGAUAAUGGCCUUCAGUUCCAUCCAUGUUGCUGCAAAUGACAUUAUUUCAUUCUUUUUAUGGCUGCAUAGUAUUACAUGGGUAUAUAUACCAUAUUUUCUUUAUCCAAUCAUCCAUUGAUGAACACUUACAGUGAUUACAUAUCUUUGCUAUUGUGAACAGUGCUGUGAAUAAACAUAAAAGUGCAGGUAUCUUUUCGAUAUAAUGAUUUCUUUUCCUUUGGAUGGAUACCCAGUUGUGAGGUUAGUGGAUCAAAUAAUAGCUCUAUUUUUAGUUCUUUGAGAAAUCUACAUCCUGUUUUUCAUAGAGGUUGUACUAAUUUAUGUUCCCAGCAACAGUGUGUAAGCAUUCCUUUUUCUCUGCAUUCUCACCAGCAUCUGUUAUUUGAAUUUGUGUAUAUUAAGUAUACUGUUUUGUAUUCCUAUAUUAAUCACAGAUUAAUAAAUAUGAAAUAAUACAAAAGAAAAAUUAAGAAAAAAGGCAAAAAGUAAUCAAGUAUAUGAUGAAUAUGAUCUAAAAUUAUUAUAGGGAAAGUCUUGAGAAAGAGAGAAACAUUUUAAUUAAUCAAAAAUGACAAAAGGGAAAUUCUUACAAACAAAUUUUUUAACAAUUUGGAGUGCUGGAUUUUUCUACAUCUUAAAGAGCAGAAGCAUUGAACAAAUAUUUCAAAUUAUCAUCCUCUGGCAGGAUUUCUCUAACUUAUAAACAAAAACCGUUCCCACAGAAAGGAAAAUAUUUUUCUUUCUUUCUAAAUAUAUUGGAAAUCCCGCUCCUCUAAAUAUGUCAGAGAAAAUGGUAAAAUAGAAAGAAAUCCUUGAUUGAAGGAAUUUCUUCUAAAAUGAAAGCAAGGACAUGAAGAAAAUCUUCAUAGACAGAUACAUAGACAGAAGCGUAGACUAAAUGGAAUGAAAAAGAAAGAUUAUAAUUAUGACUAGUAUAAGAUAUAGGAAGUUAAGCAUAGGACCACUCCAGAAGUUAAAAUUUUUUUUUCUGAAACAAAUCAGUGGCUUAGAAAAAUUAGUGAGAACAGUUACAUAUUGAAAGACAUACAGAGACAUAAGUGUUCCACACAAGUGUUAACAAUGUGUGGAAAUUUGGGAGAUCUUGAUUCAGACAAAACAAAUAGUACAAGAGUUCUUUAAAAAUUUGGGGAAAUUGCUUGUGUGCUUGAUAUUAUUUAGUAUCAAGGAAUUAUUGCUAAUUUUGUUAUGAAUGAUAACAACAUUGUUUUUAUACAAGAAAUCGUUCAUACCUUUUGGAGAUACACACUGAAGUAUGUAGAGGCAAAUGAUGAUAGCUGUGAUUUGCUUUAAAAUAAAUUCAACAUUGAAAAAAGAAAAUAAAAUAAGGGAUAGAUGAACCAAUCUAGGGCAAAUCUUAAUUAUUAAUAGGAACUUGCAUGUGUGAAAGUUGAUUGGACUUUUCUCUCAAUGUAUGUUUGAAAUUUUUCGUUAUAGAAAUGUUAAUAUUUUAUGAUGAUAAAAAUAAUAUACAUAUGUUUUAGAAAUUUUGGAAAAUACAGUAAAUUAUAAGUAAAAUAAAAUUCAGCUAUGGUUCUACCAUCAGAAAUAACUUAUCUUAAAGGUUUGAGAUAUUUAUGUUCUAGAAGCUAUUGAUAGAGAAUUUUUAUUAUUAUUUAGUUUUAAUCACAGUAAAUAUAUAUGGUGAAUUAUAUAAUGAUGUCUUGAUCCUUUCAUUUUUCUUUUGUGUUUUAACUCCUUUCUAAAAGAGUAUCAUAAAAUUCAUUUAAUAUUAAGACUAAUCAUAUUAUAUAUAAACAUAUUUUAAAUUUCAGGUUUUAUAAGUAACAUUUUAAAGUUGUUCAUGACAUUUAAAAAUCUACCUAUCUUUUUGUUAAGUUUAUAAAUAUUCUGUUUUUAAUU